UACAGAGGGUGCGAGCGUUAAUCGGAAUUACUGGGCGUAAAGCGUGCGUAGACGGUUAUUUAAGUCGGGUGUGAAAGCCCCGGGCUCAACCUGGGAAUUGCAUUCGAGACUGAAUAGCUAGGGUACGGUAGAGGGAAGUGGAAUUUCCGGUGUAGCGGUGAAAUGCGUAGAUAUCUGGAGGAACAUCAGUGGCGAAGGCGACACCCUGGACUCAUACUGACACUGAGGUGCGAAAGCGUGGGGAGCAAACAGG
rnacentral:rRNA from 1 species